UUGUCGCUGUCACCACCAGAGCACACCACGGAAUGCUGCUUGCACUUGGAGCAGUCACCUGUGUAGCGGGAUACAGUUGCAUCUAACACUGCAGGUGGUCCUGAGGUCGGUUGUCUCCCCUACAUGGAUGGAUGUUGGGAUCUAGCUGACCUCUCCUGUAGUCAGACUCCCGAGCGGACCUGGACCUUUUCGCAUGCUGCCUGUGCUGUUCUGCUAACAACAACAUACUUCUUUUCUUGACAGCAGAAGCUCCAAUGUCAUUUGAAGUUGAUGGAUCUGGUUUGAACUCAGGAACAUUGAUCGCACCCACCAGUUGUCGCUGUCACCACCAGAGCACACCACGGAAUGCUGCUUGCACUUGGAGCAGUCACCUGUGUAGCGGGAUACAGUUGCAUCUAACACUGCAGGCUCAGAGUUGGAUUCUUCAGCUGUAACAGUUGCUGGCCGUAGUAUCCGUGUUGGACAUGGUCUGUCUCCAGUAUCUGUUGUUACCAGGGAAAGGCCGUCAGGACUGGGCUUGGUGAUCAGCUGAAAU